rnacentral:rRNA from 1 species
AUACGGAGGAUCCGAGCGUUAUCCGGAUUUAUUGGGUUUAAAGGGUGCGUAGGCGGCCUUUUAAGUCAGCGGUGAAAGUCUGUGGCUCAACCAUAGAAUUGCCGUUGAAACUGGGAGGCUUGAGUAUGUUUGAGGCAGGCGGAAUGCGUGGUGUAGCGGGGAAAUGCUUAGAUAUCACGCAGAACCCCGAUUGCGAAGGCAGCCUGCCAAGCCAUGACUGACGCUGAUGCACGAAAGCGUGGGGAUCAAACAGGAUUAGAUACCCUGGUAGUCCACGCAGUAAACGAUGAUCACUAGCUGUUUGCGAUACACUGUAAGCGGCACAGCGAAAGCGUUAAGUGAUCCACCUGGGGAGUACGCCGGCAACGGUGAAACUUAAAGGAAUUGACGGGG